rnacentral:tRNA from 1 species
AAUGAAGUGCCUGACAAAAAGGAUUACUAUGAUAGGGUAAAUCAUGUAAAUUUUUAUUACCUUCAUUA